CGGCGGACGGGUGAGUAACGCGUAGGAAUCUACCCGGUAGUGGGGGACAACUUGUGGAAACGCAAGCUAAUACCGCAUACGCCCUAUGGGGGAAAGCGGGGGAUCUUCGGACCUCGCGCUAUCGGAUGAGCCUGCGUAGGAUUAGCUAGUUGGUGAGGUAAAGGCUCACCAAGGCGACGAUCCUUAGCUGGUCUGAGAGGAUGAUCAGCCACACUGGAACUGAGACACGGACCAG
rnacentral:rRNA from 1 species